AUCUUGGCAUUCCCAGUGCGACAGCUCUGUGAGAGAUCUUCACCUGAAGUACUGCAAUGGCUCGAGAAGUUAGCUCACUACCAUUUUUCAAUGACAAGAACAUUCAGUCAGUAGCAUGCAUUGGAGAGAGCACCCUGCCAUUUAACUGGACGAUACAACAUAGAUGGUGUCACUGGAAAAUGGCCUAAUCAGUCCCAGGAUCCACCAAUAACGUGAAAGGAGGAUGAUUUGCAGUUUGACUGGCUGAAAAAUGAAUACUCCUUCCCAUU